rnacentral:rRNA from 1 species
GGCGGCAUGCCUACACAUGCAGUCGUACGGAGAGUGGGGCGACUCACUCUCAGUGGCAAACGGGUGAGUAACACGUGAAUAACCUGCCUUUGAGAAGGGGAUAACUGUCCGAAAGGAUAGCUAAUACCCUAUAUUGCCUUUUGUCACUAAGGCAAAAGGUGAAAGCGAGGCUGUCAAAGGCUUCGGCUCAAAGAGGGGUUCGCGUCCUAUCAGGUAGUUGGUGGGGUAAUGGCCUACCAAGCCAAUGACGGGUAGCUGGUCUUAAAGGAUGAUCAGCCACAGUGGGACUGAGACACGGCCCGCACCCCUACGGGGGGCAGCAGUGGGGAAUCGUGGGCAAUGGGCGCAAGCCUGACCCCGCAAUGCCGCGUGAGGGAAGAAGCCCUUCGGGGUGUAAACCUCUGUCAAAUGGGAAGAUGGGACUAGGGGCUAAUACCUCCUAGUCUUGACGGUACCAUCAAAGGAAGGGACGGCUAACUACGUGCCAGCAGCCGCGGUAAU